CUUCGGUGGAUUUAAUUUAUUUCUAGUGGCGGACGGGUGAGUAACGCGUGGGUAACCUGCCUUAUACUGGGGGAUAACAGCCAGAAAUGACUGCUAAUACCGCAUAAGCGCACAGAACCGCAUGGUUCGGUGUGAAAAACUCCGGUGGUAUAAGAUGGACCCGCGUUGGAUUAGCUAGUUGGCAGGGCAGCGGCCUACCAAGGCGACGAUCCAUAGCCGGCCUGAGAGGGUGAACGGCCACAUUGGGACUGAGACACGGCCCAGACUCCUACGGGAGGCAGCAGUGGGGAAUAUUGCACAAUGGGGGAAACCCUGAUGCAGCGACGCCGCGUGAAGGAAGAAGUAUCUCGGUAUGUAAACUUCUAUCAGCAGGGAAGAUAAUGACGGUACCUGACUAAGAAGCCCCGGCUAACUACGUGCCAGCAGCCGCGGUAAUACGUAGGGGGCAAGCGUUAUCCGGAUUUACUGGGUGUAAAGGGAGCGUAGACGGCGCAGCAAGUCUGAUGUGAAAGGCAGGGGCUUAACCCCUGGACUGCAUUGGAAACUGCUGUGCUUGAGUGCCGGAGGGGUAAGCGGAAUUCCUAGUGUAGCGGUGAAAUGCGUAGAUAUUAGGAGGAACACCAGUGGCGAAGGCGGCUUACUGGACG
rnacentral:rRNA from 1 species